AUGUCCCACAUUGCUUGACCGAGC
rnacentral:siRNA from 1 species